GCCUGUUGCUGCCUAUGUGCAGUUGAAGAGGCAGGAAUGAAAAAGAUCAAGAGAAGGUUCUAUUUAGUAGUAGAAAAAUGAGACAGAGUUAAUGCUGAGGCAACUCAACUUAGAUAAGAGCAGGCGAAGCAAAGGAGCAAGCCACUGAGUCGGGCAGAGCAAGAGGAAUGAAGAAACGUCCGGUGUGAGAUCGUCAGUGCCGAUGCUGAGAUUAAGAGUGGUAUGGGAAAGGCUUCCUCAACCUUGGAUCGUUUGCUACCAGAGCUGUGGAGUGUGACAUUGGUGUUUGUGUCCAGUCUAUCAAACGCCAUUAUCACACUAAAUAGCUACUGUAGGGCCAUCCGUCUGUUUGGAGUCACUCAACAAUGUGUUUACUUUCUGGAAUAAGUAAAAGGUUAAAAAGGGUCAUGCUCAUGUCCACCCCGUUCAUUCAAAUCCUGAAAGCAAUUACUCUCAUUUUGUACCUAUGACGCAUAUGCUGUUUGAGGAUGUAAGAAAAGUCCAGAAUCCCUGCCUAUCAUGGGCUGUUGAAGCUUUUCCUUUGCAAGACAUAUGCACCCCUUUGCUGAUUUAGACUGUGUGUGUUUUAAAUGAGAUGGAAAUCAAGAUGUGUAAAAAUAUCAUCCUCAUUAAAAAUUUAUUUCAUAAACAAAGUU